rnacentral:rRNA from 1 species
UUCCGGUUGAUCCCGCCGGAGGUCACUGCUAUCGGUGUUCGACUAAGCCAUGCGAGUCAAAUGUUCUUCGUGAACAUGGCGUACUGCUCAGUAACACGUGGAUAACCUGCCCUUAGGUCCGGCAUAACCCCGGGAAACUGGGGAUAAUUCCGGAUAGAUUAUAGAUGCUGGAAUGCCCUGUAAUCCAAAGCUAUUGUGCCUAAGGAUGGGUCUGCGGUCUAUCAGGUUGUAGUGGGUGUAACGUACCUACUAGCCUACGACGGAUACGGGUUGUGGGAGCAAGAGCCCGGAGAUGGAUUCUGAGACAUGAAUCCAGGCCCUACGGGGCGCAGCAGGCGCGAAAACUUUACAAUGCGGGGAACCGCGAUAAGGGGACACCGAGUGCCAGCAUCCUAUGUUGGCUGUCCAUAUGUCUAAAUCACAUGUGUUAGCAAGGGCCGGGCAAGACCGGUGCCAGCCGCCGCGGUAACACCGGCGGCCCGAGUGGUGGCCACUAUUAUUGGGUCUAAAGGGUCCGUAGCCGGUUUGGUCAGUCUUCCGGGAAAUCUGACGGCUCA